CCUACGGGAGGCAGCAGUGAGGAAUAUUGGUCAAUGGUCGGGAGACUGAACCAGCCAAGCCGCGUGAGGGAUGAAGGUACAGAGUAUCGUAAACCUCUUUUGUCAGGGAACAAAGGCGGGGACGUGUCCCCGGAUGAGUUAACCUGAAGAAAAAGCAUCGACUAACUCCGUGCCAGCAGCCGCGCUAAUACUGAGGAUGCGAGGUUUAUCCGGAUUUAUUGGGUUUAAAGGGUGCGCAGGCGGUCUGUUAAGUAAGCGGUAAAAGCCCGGGGCUCACCCCCGGCCCGCCGAUGAAACUGGCAGUCUCGAGUUGGAGAGAAGUAUGCGGAAUGCGCGGUGUAGCGGUGAAAUGCAUAGAUAUCGCGAAGAACUCCGAUUGCGAAGGCAGCAUGCCGGCUCCACACUGACGCUGAGGCACGAAAGCGUGGGUAUCGAACAGGAUUAGAUACCCGAGUAGUC
rnacentral:rRNA from 1 species